CAUCAUGGCCCUUACGCCCAGGGCUACACACGUGCUACAAUGGGAGAUACAGAGGGUAGCUACACGGUAACGUGAUGCCAAUCUCAAAAAGUCUCUCUCAGUUCGGAUUGAGGUCUGCAACUCGACCUCAUGAAGCUGGAAUCGCUAGUAAUCGCGUAUCAGCAAUGACGCGGUGAAUACGUUCCCGGACCUUGUACACACCGCCCGUCAAGCCAUGGGAGUUGGGUAUGCCUGAAGAUGGU
rnacentral:rRNA from 14 species